rnacentral:rRNA from 1 species
GGGUUGUGAGGUUAAGCGACUAAGCGUACACGGUGGAUGCCCUGGCAGUCAGAGGCGAUGAAGGACGUGCUAAUCUGCGAUAAGCGUCGGUAAGGUGAUAUGAACCGUUAUAACCGGCGAUUUCCGAAUGGGGAAACCCAGUGUGAUUCGUCACACUAUCAUUAACUGAAUCCAUAGGUUAAUGAGGCGAACCGGGGGAACUGAAACAUCUAAGUACCCCGAGGAAAAGAAAUCAACCGAGAUUCCCCCAGUAGCGGCGAGCGAACGGGGAGCAGCCCAGAGCCUGAAUCAGUGUGUGUGUUAGUGGAAGCGUCUGGAAAGGCGCGCGAUACAGGGUGACAGCCCCGUACACAAAAAUGCACAUGCUGUGAGCUCGAUGAGUAGGGCGGGACACGUGGUAUCCUGUCUGAAUAUGGGGGGACCAUCCUCCAAGGCUAAAUACUCCUGACUGACCGAUAGUGAACCAGUACCGUGAGGGAAAGGCGAAAAGAACCCCGGCGAGGGGAGUGAAAAAGAACCUGAAACCGUGUACGUACAAGCAGUGGGAGCACAGAGCAAUCUGUGUGACUGCGUACCUUUUGUAUAAUGGGUCAGCGACUUAUAUUCUGUAGCAAGGUUAACCGAAUAGGGGAGCCGAAGGGAAACCGAGUCUUAACUGGGCGUUAAGUUGCAGGGUAUAGACCCGAAACCCGGUGAUCUAGCCAUGGGCAGGUUGAAGGUUGGGUAACACUAACUGGAGGACCGAACCGACUAAUGUUGAAAAAUUAGCGGAUGACUUGUGGCUGGGGGUGAAAGGCCAAUCAAACCGGGAGAUAGCUGGUUCUCCCCGAAAGCUAUUUAGGUAGCGCCUCGUGAAUUCAUCUCCGGGGGUAGAGCACUGUUUCGGCAAGGGGGUCAUCCCGACUUACCAACCCGAUGCAAACUACGAAUACCGGAGAAUGUUAUCACGGGAGACACACGGCGGGUGCUAACGUCCGUCGUGAAGAGGGAAACAACCCAGACCGCCAGCUAAGGUCCCAAAGUCAUGGUUAAGUGGGAAACGAUGUGGGAAGGCCCAGACAGCCAGGAUGUUGGCUUAGAAGCAGCCAUCAUUUAAAGAAAGCGUAAUAGCUCACUGGUCGAGUCGGCCUGCGCGGAAGAUGUAACGGGGCUAAACCAUGCACCGAAGCUGCGGCAGCGACGCUUAUGCGUUGUUGGGUAGGGGAGCGUUCUGUAAGCCUGCGAAGGUGUGCUGUGAGGCAUGCUGGAGGUAUCAGAAGUGCGAAUGCUGACAUAAGUAACGAUAAAGCGGGUGAAAAGCCCGCUCGCCGGAAGACCAAGGGUUCCUGUCCAACGUUAAUCGGGGCAGGGUGAGUCGACCCCUAAGGCGAGGCCGAAAGGCGUAGUCGAUGGGAAACAGGUUAAUAUUCCUGUACUUGGUGUUACUGCGAAGGGGGGACGGAGAAGGCUAUGUUGGCCGGGCGACGGUUGUCCCGGUUUAAGCGUGUAGGCUGGUUUUCCAGGCAAAUCCGGAAAAUCAAGGCUGAGGCGUGAUGACGAGGCACUACGGUGCUGAAGCAACAAAUGCCCUGCUUCCAGGAAAAGCCUCUAAGCAUCAGGUAACAUCAAAUCGUACCCCAAACCGACACAGGUGGUCAGGUAGAGAAUACCAAGGCGCUUGAGAGAACUCGGGUGAAGGAACUAGGCAAAAUGGUGCCGUAACUUCGGGAGAAGGCACGCUGAUAUGUAGGUGAAGCGACUUGCUCGUGGAGCUGAAAUCAGUCGAAGAUACCAGCUGGCUGCAACUGUUUAUUAAAAACACAGCACUGUGCAAACACGAAAGUGGACGUAUACGGUGUGACGCCUGCCCGGUGCCGGAAGGUUAAUUGAUGGGGUUAGCGCAAGCGAAGCUCUUGAUCGAAGCCCCGGUAAACGGCGGCCGUAACUAUAACGGUCCUAAGGUAGCGAAAUUCCUUGUCGGGUAAGUUCCGACCUGCACGAAUGGCGUAAUGAUGGCCAGGCUGUCUCCACCCGAGACUCAGUGAAAUUGAACUCGCUGUGAAGAUGCAGUGUACCCGCGGCAAGACGGAAAGACCCCGUGAACCUUUACUAUAGCUUGACACUGAACAUUGAGCCUUGAUGUGUAGGAUAGGUGGGAGGCUUUGAAGUGUGGACGCCAGUCUGCAUGGAGCCGACCUUGAAAUACCACCCUUUAAUGUUUGAUGUUCUAACGUUGACCCGUAAUCCGGGUUUCGGACAGUGUCUGGUGGGUAGUUUGACUGGGGCGGUCUCCUCCUAAAGAGUAACGGAGGAGCACGAAGGUUGGCUAAUCCUGGUCGGACAUCAGGAGGUUAGUGCAAUGGCAUAAGCCAGCUUGACUGCGAGCGUGACGGCGCGAGCAGGUGCGAAAGCAGGUCAUAGUGAUCCGGUGGUUCUGAAUGGAAGGGCCAUCGCUCAACGGAUAAAAGGUACUCCGGGGAUAACAGGCUGAUACCGCCCAAGAGUUCAUAUCGACGGCGGUGUUUGGCACCUCGAUGUCGGCUCAUCACAUCCUGGGGCUGAAGUAGGUCCCAAGGGUAUGGCUGUUCGCCAUUUAAAGUGGUACGCGAGCUGGGUUUAGAACGUCGUGAGACAGUUCGGUCCCUAUCUGCCGUGGGCGCUGGAGAACUGAGGGGGGCUGCUCCUAGUACGAGAGGACCGGAGUGGACGCAUCACUGGUGUUCGGGUUGUCAUGCCAAUGGCACUGCCCGGUAGCUAAAUGCGGAAGAGAUAAGUGCUGAAAGCAUCUAAGCACGAAACUUGCCCCGAGAUGAGUUCUCCCUGACUCCUUGAGAGUCCUGAAGGAACGUUGAAGACGACGACGUUGAUAGGCCGGGUGUGUAAGCGCAGCGAUGCGUUGAGCUAACCGGUACUAAUGAACCGUGAGGCUUAACCUUACAACGCCGAAG